UUCCUUCCCUCCAAUCCCCUCAGAGUUUAUCCACUGUGGUAAGGAUUUCUAUUCUUCUGAUGGUGUCCUCUAAAGCUGUCUUUGAGAGCAUCUUUACCACUGCCAGCAGACACUGUGUGGACGCCUCUCAGUUGGAAGAGAGGAUGUUGCACAAAGCAAAGAAGAUGCACUGCAUAUAGCAUUGCAGUAUGGUCAUUUUAACUCCUCGUUUCUCAAAGUCAAAACGAACAAGUUGCACAGAGGUGAAAGUCAGUAAGCCCUAUUGUAUCUUUGAGAUUUCAGGGUGUGAUUGAAAUUUGUGCUCUGUGCAUGGAAAUCUCUCCUUGUUUAACAAACAGAGUCUUCCAUAAUAGACUUUAGAUUUCUUCCCUUCCAUGCAACCUCAUUUUGGAAGAGAAGGGAAUCCAAAUGUGCCUUUGUGUCUACAUGUACGUUACCAUGUCUCGAUUCAUGGAACUCAAGUCUUCCACUUGGAAGAGCAUUGGAAUCAUCUACCAUGUUUCAGUUUAAAUCUGAUGAAAAGAAGAUGUUUUCUAUGCACUAACCGAAUAACCUGUGGUCAAACACUCAUGGGUUGCUCUGUAUUGAGUAUGUUGUACUACACAACUGAUCUUACAUGAUGUCCUUGAUUGGAUAUUCAAUGCUUUACCCAUGGCUUUAGAAAUUGUGUAUCCACAUAUAUAUAUGUGUCAGUCCUGAAUUAAUUGUGUUCAUCAUGAGGACAUUAAGAAGAUUCAGUGUGUGGUUCUUUCUUGUUUCAUUUGAGAGUUAGCGUGUCUGCUCCAUUAUCAGGACUGUGGGUCUACCAGCUAGCAACAUGUUCUUUUGAAAUAUCUUUCCUUUAUUUUUUAAAGGAAUAGUUGUUUUCAUAGAUCUUGGGUAACACGCAAAUUUUGUUAGAAGAGAUGGUUUUCAUCUGUGGGAGAGCGGCAAUAAGAGGAUGAAUGUACCCUGGAGGAAAACAGAAACAAUAACAACAAAUAACAGAAAGCAAAGCCCAAUUGUCAUUUCUCAUGAUGGAUCAACUGAGAUGGUUUCUGCGCGCGAGAGAGAUAGGACAACAAAAAGAAACACACAGGCCAAGCUACAUUAUGGUCCAUAUAUAUCACCAGGUAUCCCACAGGACAUUGACAGGGACAGGAGAUGGGUUCUGUGUGCCUGCCUCCUGAACCUGCUCUUCUUAUCACCUCUCUAGUCCUGUUUCUUCAAAUGAACUCAACACCACCCAGUUUCCAAGAUGAAGGAAGGCAUUGCAUUUAAUACCAAAAAUAUUCUUCGUUUUGUUUUUUUUUUCUGACAAUGGACAACUACAUUUCUG
rnacentral:lncRNA from 1 species